GCUAUGCGUGCCCUGCGCGAGCUAGAAGGUUUGGCUACCUCUCCCUACUGUCCUGGUCCUAGGUGUGCUGGGCAGGGCCUGGGCCCUGACUAGACCUCAGAGAUGUUUCUGGAGCCAUACUGACCUGAAGACGAGGCUUGGCUGCAGAGAGCUGGCAUAAGGAACUGGAGCCAGGUUCCUGGGCAGCCUGGGGCAAAGCAGCAGGGCCAGUGGCUGCCCUACGAAACUCCAUGUACAUUCAGAACCUGCUCCACUAAGAACGGAAGCCAGGAGACAGUGCCCUGCGCCUCAGGACGUGAUGACCCAGAGACCCUGAGUGACUCAUGCAUAGUCACACAGCAAGCAUGUGGUAGAGUGAGGACCAAACCCUGAGCUGUGGACUCCCGGCUCAGUGCUCCCUGCCUCCCACCUUGUUGCCCAUGACCCAGGCCUGUUCCUGGACAUCUGACCUAAGCAUUCACCCAGGGCCCUGAGCUUGGUUUAAUAAUCUGCUAUUGCUGUCUUGAAAUUUUAAAUAAUUUUCAGAAAAGGGACCCCACAUUUUCAUUUUCCUCUGGGACCCACAAAUUAUAUGUACUGAUUUGCUGGGACCUUGGUGGGUGUGAUUCAAGGAUUAGUCAUGUUUCCUUGGAGAACUGUGUUCCAGUGCUACAACCUCCUAUGCUCUAUCUUGAGGAUCAAAGACAGAAGCCGAUAGCAAAGGAGCAUCACCCAGGACUCGGUCUCUCCUUGGCCUAGACUUCUGUUGGGUGCUUCGUGCAUGGCAGCUGCUUACCAGUUCCCUGAGAUGUAACAGUUAGAUUGUUUGAGAUCUAUUUUCUUAAUGUAAACAUUUAUCUCUAUUGGAGCUGAAGUGCCAAUACUUUGGCCAUCUGAUGUGAAGAGCCGACUCAUUGGAAAAGACCCUGGUGCUGGGGAAGAUUGAGGGCAGGAGGAAAAGUGGGUAACAGGAUGAGAUGGUUGGAUGCUGUCUCGGACUUGGUGGACAUGAGUUUAAACUCCAGGAGAUACAGUGAAGGACAGGGAAGCCUGGUGUGCUGCAGUCCAUGGGCUCAAAGAGUAGAAUAUGAUUUAGAGCCUGAACAACAACAACAAUCUUUAUAACUUUACUUUUGAAGCUGAUUUUGCUGCUUCCCAUAGUUUUUGUAUGUUGUGCUCCAUUUCCAUUUGUUUCAAGAUAAUUUUUUAUUUCUUUUUUAACUUCUUUGUUCAGAAACAUGCUGUCAGCUUUCCAUAUUUGUGAAUUUUCCAGUUUUCUACUUUUCUAUUGAUUUCUACAUUGUGGUUGGAAAAGACAUCUGACAUGAUUUCAAACUUCUUAAAUGUAUUAAGACGUGUUUUGUGGCUCAACAUAUGAUCUGUUCUGGAUAAUUCUCUGUGCACUUGAAAAGAAUGUGUAGUUUGCUGCUGUUGGAUAAAAUGUUCUAUUUAUGUCUGUUAGUUCCUUUUCAUUUAAAGUGUAGUUCAAGUCCAAUGUUUCUUUACUGAUUUUCUGUUUGGACCAUAUAUGCGUUGUUGAAGUGGAAUAUUUAAGUUCCCUUCUAUUAUUUUAUUGCUUUCUAUUUAUCCUUCUGGUUUAUUAAUAUUUGUUUUAUAUAUUCAGGUAGUUCAGUGUUGACUGCAUAUACAUUUAUAGUUGUUUUAUCCUGUUAAUGAACUGACCCCUUUUUCAUUAUAUAGUGACCUUUUUUGUCUCUUGUGAUAAUUUUUCACUUAAAGUCUAUUUUGUCUUGAUAUAGGUUUGUCCACUCUGUUUUGGUUACCACUUGCAUGCAACAUCUCUUUCCACACCCUCACUUUCACCCUAUGUAUAUAUUUAAAGCUAAAGUGAGCCUCUUGUAAACAGCAUAGAGUUAAAUUGUGUUUUUUAAUCUGUUUUUUGUAUUUAAUUGUCUUUUCAUCCACUCUGUAUCUUCUGAUUGGAAAAUGUAAUCCAUUUAUAUUUAAAAUAAUUGUUAAUAGGUAUUUCAUGCAUUGGAGAAGGAAAUGGCAACCCACUCCAGUGUUCUUGCCUGGAGAAUCCCAGGGACAGGGGAGCCUGGUAGGCUGCCAUCUAUGGGGUUGCACAGAGUUGGACACGACUGAAGCGACUUAGCAGCAGCCGCAGCAAGGACUUACUAUUGCCAUUUUGUUAUUUUUUUUACUGCUUUGUAGUUCCCUUGUUGGUUUCCUCUUUGUGAUUACCAUGAGACUUACAUAAACCUUCCUCUAUUUAUUAGAGUCCAUUUUGUGCUGUUAACAACUUUAACCACAUACAGAAACUCUACAUUUUACCUUUCCUUCUCCACAUUUUAUGUUUGAUGCCACAGAGUACAUUUUUAAUACUGUGUACCCAUUAGCAAAUUAUUAUAGCUAUAGUUUUUAAAAAUGCUUUGUCUUUUAACUUUUAUACUAGAGUUUAAAAUGGUGUAUAUACCACCAUUACAGUGCUAGAGAAUAUUCUUACCUUUACAGUGAGUUUUAUAUGUUCACAUGUUUUCAUGUUGUUGGUUAGUGUCCUUUAAUUUUAACCAGAAGAACUCCUUUUACCAUUUCUUACAGGGCAGGUCUGCUGGUGAUGGACUUCAGCUUUUUAAUAAAAAUAAUUUUUUUUU